rnacentral:lncRNA from 1 species
GAAACCUACAGAGAGAGACAACAGCCUGGAGGCCUUUGAUAGACUUUCCUCUUCACCUGGCCUGAAAGCAUUAGAGCAGUGGCUUCUUUUUGUCACUCUUC